AAGACUAUGCUUUCAGGAAUUAUUUCUGUAGUUUGCACUAGAGAGGUUUCUCUGACCAUGUAGUGCACCUGAAAGCAUGAGGGGAGCCAGAGCAUCUUUCCUGAAAGUGAAGCUGGUUCUAGAUGUUGCUUUUGCAACUGCCUUUUACUAUUGAUGGUCGUUCUUCUCUUCCUUUGGAAGAGUUAGAGGGAGAGAAUGUAUUCUGAGUAGU